UCCAUCUCUCUCACCCCUCUCCCUCAACCGCCCCGAUCUGGUUACCCGAGCGCGCAUGGUGGAUACGGGAACGCCGACGAGCGCGCAUGGUGGAUACGGGAACGCCGACGAGCGCGCUCGUGCUCACGCCUCUAUCUCCCCCUUCUCUCUCCCUCAACCGCCCUGAUCCAGAUACACAAGUUCAUGCGAGGCAGAGAGACGGGAGCGAUAUCCGGGAUGAUUCGGGCGAGCGCCUCACGUCCGCAGUUGUUGGGAGCUUUGCUCACCAUCUCGCGGUUGUUGGCGACGGAAGAUAGAGAAGGGCGAGCGGCCGCGCGGAACAUCGACGACCGAGAGGCACCCUCGUCUGCAACCCCAUCUGCUAUUCUCCCUGACGGCAUUCCUGGCAGCAAGGAUUGAAAGACAUGGUCCAUAUUGUGGCAACCAAGACACAAAUAAAGAACAAAUGGGACAGGUUGAAAGAAUUCAAGGCAUGGAAGAAGUUGAUGAGGCAGACAUGUACUGGUGGGUGCUCUACAAAAGGAACCAUCGAUAUGGCUGGCAGGACAUUCCAAGUUGUGGGAACUUCAAAAUAUGGAGGAACUAGAAAUAUGUUUUGGCAGCAUCACAAGUAUUGGUGUUGAUCACUGGUCUCCUCAUAUGGCCACUGCUUUCACCAUUGCUGAACAAGGAGGUACACCACACGAGGCAAUCAAUUGUGACACACAAGAAGAUGGUGACACCAAUGAAUGUGAAGUUUCACCGGUCAGUCCAAAUGACAAGAGACCGCCAACGCCAAGGUUCAAUCAAAAUAAAGGCAAGAAGCAGAAAACAGAAAACAGGGACAACACUAAUCAUCGUUCAAUAAGCAGUUACAUCUAUGUCUGUUUCAACUAAUUCUUAUGCUGCAAAAAAGGAAAAAUUUCCAUUGAUGAAGUGAUGAAACAUGUGCUUGCUUGUGGUGCCACCUAUGGUAGUAACGAGCACUUCAUUACAACUGAACUAUUUGUCAAACUGACCCAAAAAGAGAUGUUCAUGACCUUUUUUUACCGAACAUAGAUUCAACUAGCUUUCAGGGAAAUACAUAACCAAGUAUGGCAAUUAUAGAGGGCCAUGGAUGUGAUAUGAGUUCUACAUGUUUGUUUUUUUAUCUCGUUGUGUGAGACUUAUUUGUUUCUUGUUCCUUUCAUUUCUUUAUGUGAGACUCAAUGGAUCAUUGUAUCUGCUAUCUCAUUUGAUGAUGGUUAUGUAUUAUUGUACUAUUACUUGUGUUUGUAUAAAAUCUCAUAUUUGCUAUCUUAUUUGACAUUAUUAUACGUUUGUUUGAUAUGGGGGUUAAUGAAAAGGAGUUUCCUCGUCAACUACAAGGUACGAAUAUUUGUAAACUAUUUUUGUCAAUACCAUGAUUGCUUGCAUAUUAAUGUUUUAUCUUACAUUUGUAGGUAAGUACUAUAGAUGUGGGUUAUCAUAAUCGACCUAGAUAUCUAGCUCUAUAUAAAGGGUGGAAGAUACCACUUAGGGCGUGAUGGUGAGCGCCUAACAACUAUGUUCUGGAGUAGGCAGAUGCAGUGAUGCAUUAUCCUAAAACGAAACUUGCAUUCUUAUUAGGAGGUCAGACUCAUGAGCUGCCUUUUUUCUGAAAUAGUAAGUACAUGCAUCAAUUUGCUCUCAAUUACCUCAAUCUUCUUAAUGUCUCGACAUUCGUUCAUUUGCCCCAUUAACCACACAUUAAUGCUACUAAAAACAACAUUAACUGGUUACUGGCUCACAACCGUGCGCUCGCGUGAAGAUGUGUGAACAAGCAGCAGCACAAAGUUAGGGAGGAACUAACUUGGUUUUGUUUCUACAUUGGUACCUGGACUUGUGAAUCCAGCAGAAGCAGUUGGAGAGUUUGGUAAAUCUACUGGCAGCGACAAACAGGUAAUGUUGCUAUGCACCUUCCUCUCAGUCUAAUAAUAGUGAAAUUCAUGCUGAUUAAGUUGCUGCUGCAGUGAUAUAUAAUGGUCACCUAUUAUGAAGAAAUAGUGAAUGGGAGAAGGGUUGAGUUUUGGAGCCGGUGCAUGCAAAUCAUAUACCGGGUUUAUACUAUAAUGUUUUCCUUAUGAAGAAUUAAAUAUUUGUGUGUUUUUAUAUUGUCUGGGUAGUUCUGCCAAUUCAGUGUUAAUGUUGUUUGAAAUGUGCCACAACAACAUUUGACGAUUGGUCGCAGCAUCAUGUUUGAUUAAAUAUCUGACUCCUGUCAUAUGGCAACUAUCCAUUAUGACCACCUGAUGGAUACGAACCAAGCAGUUUGCGUCGCUAACUUGUUUCUGUUAUCCUUAACAUAAGUGACAUGGAGCUUGUAUAUUUUCAAUAGGCCCAAGUUAAACCUUAUUCAGUUUUGAACCGAAGGCAGAUUUCGUUUUGUAGACCUACUUAUAGGUAUACUGAUCAUUGUCCCAAUUCUAGAUCUGAUCAUUGUCCCAGUUUUAAACUGAUCAUUGUCCCUCCAAGUACCCAGUUCUGCUCAUGGGAUGUACAACAUUUCUUUUGGUCAUGAUAUUGGAAAUGUUGAUCCGACUAUCUAAGUAAACAUGUCAGCAAGUCACACAACAAUCAGCCAAGCAGAGGGAAGUAUGCUUCAUGGGCGCUCCCGGUCGACCGAUGUGGUGGUCAGGGUCGGAGCGUGCAGACUCUGCUCUCACUCACCGUGAAACAGACCAUGGACGCAGCGCAAGCCAGCGGUUGAACUAUGGUGUGGUGUUCACCGUGAAGAGCUUACAAGGAGCUCAAGAUCUUGUAAAAGAACUUUGGUGGAUUGCGAGAUAGCCCGAUAGUUAUCUUUGUAAGUAUUCUUUACUACAACCUUCAUAUAUACUUUGGUUCACAAUUAUCUAUUGAGCAUAUUGUGGUUACAGUUACCUUUUAGGUUUCUUAUCUUUGCUGAUUUGGUACUUUGCCCCCUUAUAUACAACAAGGAUCCACGAGAACGCCCUUGUCUAGCUGCAUCAGUUGUUGCGGUUCGUCCUAAACCUUGUACAUGUUACUUCCCAUUAUGAGAAAAAUAGAUGUCUGAUGUGUUUCCCUAUGCCCUGGUAAUUCAUAUAAUUGUAGAACGACUUACAAUUUGGAACAAAGAUAGUUUUUAUUGAACAUUGAGUUGUCUAAAUAUUUUACUUGUGGAUGUCAAUUUUUUGCAGCCUUCCAUUCUGAACAAAAAAUACAAUUAAUUUAAGAAUUACAGCUAAGCAACCUGGGAAAGCAAAUUUUAAAGCUACCUUUUCUGUCUGAAGAUCAUUAAGAUGCUCCUUCAAUUCCCCUAAUCUCUUCAAGGAUAAAUCAUUCUCAUCUACCACAGGAGCAGGAUCCCCAUGAUUAAUGGCUCCUGAAAUUUCUGCUCGUAGACGUACAAUCUUUGACUGAAUAGCCUUGAACUCAUUCUCAGUGUCAGUUUGAAAACUGAAAGUUUAGAGCUACAAACAGACCACAUAAACAUUUAAAUUACUAGAUGGUAGUAUAAUUAAAAUUUGAAUACUAUACAUCAAUCUAAAGUUUGUACACGAUGUUCAGUUCUAACGUUUGUUUUGUGGAUCACAUAGUUAAAUUAUUGUAUUCUUUUUUGCUUUACUGUGAUUUAGAGUUGAAGUGACAUACUAUGAUUCAAAUACACACCAACUUUUUGUGAUUCAGAAGAAGACAUACUGUGAUUCAGAAGAAGAAAACGCUAGGGAAUUUUUUCAUUGUUACUGGCCUUUUUGUAUAGGUUUUAUCUCAGUCCCGUAUGGUGGUUUAUUUUCUUUGCUUCUCAUCAACUGCAGUAUGGAAUAAAAUAACCACAUGAAGAUAGAAAAGAAGGCUUGCAGAGUAGUAUUUUCUUUUGCACUUUUGGAUCUUCUUUUUACAAAAAGUUGGGUGCACUCUUGUAAUAGGUAAACAGUGCUACGUGUGCACAGUUUAGUCAUUCAGUUUUUGAGAAUCAUAAAUUUAUUGCAUUUUGGAUAACUGGAUACAUUUAACUUGGUAAGCAAUGUUAGUACAUGCAUGCAUGGUACCUUGUGUCAUGAAAACAUAGUAUCUAUCGUACCAUACCAUUACUUUCUCUAGAAGUUUGUUUCCAAAACCACAACCAAUUUCAGUCUCUAAGCAGCCAAGUCUCAGUUUGCAUGUGAAGUGAAUCUUCUGUGCCAUGGGAGCAUAAUCAGAAACUCCACUGCUUGUAACCUGAAAUAGUUUAAUCUUUUUCUGCUUUGUACAUUUUUUAAAGUUGAUCUGACAGUGUCAAUAACUGAAUAUUGUGUUCCUUGGAGCAGUACAUAAAUAUGAAGACUCAGAAGAUCUCCAAACAUAUUAGUAAGCGAUUUACAACACCGGUUUGGAUUAAGCACAAGGAACCGAGGGAAGUGAACAUGUUUGUUGAUCUACUACUUCUUGAGGACUUCUUGAGUGAUCUUUCGGUACAUCGCUGCUGAUACAAGCAGCCUAACCAGACUGCUUUUGUGAAGGUAUGUGCGUACCUAUAUUGCUUCUUGAGGCUGGCUCAUGUGAUUGUGGUGUUUGGAAGAUACAUUAAAGUUUAAUUCGACAAAUGUCUUUUGCUUAGGGCUCCUAGCUUGGUGUUUCUUGUUCUGUGAUACUUGUGCAUGCGAAGUAGGUGAACUGCUACUUAAAUGGUACAUAUUUAGCUUAAUUACUUACUGGUGGCAUUGCAGAUUAUAUGUUUCUGUCUUAAAGAUACAUUAGUAGGCUGUAGUACUCACACUGCUUCUGUUCUCAUCUGUUCACACACUGCAUCUAUUCACAGCCUGAUUCAGAGGCAUGCAUGAGGUUGUAGUAGGCGAGACCACCCAAAAGCACUCCCAACGCCUGACCACAAGAGCUAGCAGAUAGCAGCCCUACUUUUGGCAAUCCAAUAAUCACAUACGAAGUUUUCCUUGAAAUGUUUUGAGUCUUGAAUUGACUUCUUCCUUAAUUUAUAGUUUCAACUCAAAGUGAAUACACUAUUUUUUGUUGAACCACAUUUUUCCUCUGCUCAGUUUGGCAUCAUUAUUGUAUCAUAAUAUUAUCAUAAUUAAUCCAUUCUGGUAAACUGACCCUAGAAAAUUUUCUUGAAUGGUUUCCUAUCUUUUACAGUCUAAGCUACAUUAUGUGCAGGGAAUUUUGCAAUAUACCUUCUGUUUCUUGCUCACAUGAUUGAUGUGAUUUUGAAUUCAUUUAGCACAUUGCUUUCUGAGAAGCCAUUUGCAGUACAAGGAUGAAACUUGGUCAGAGUGUUUACCAUAUGGACUGGCAGUGAAACCAAAAAAGGAGGCGCGCUACUGUUCUUCUGUAUUCAUAUCAAUGUAACAGCAGAUUACUGAUAUAGCUAUGCCUGGAGAGUGGAGAUAAGUGGAGGUGGCACCACCAAUUCCUUGAUGUACCAGGAAUGUUUGGAUUGUUGUAUUUUGACAUUGUUUAGUUCAACAUAUUCAAGGUAUGUUCCAAGGCUAUCUUAGAAAAAUUCCUGCAAAUAUUGCAUUUUGAUUCAUCUUGUUGCCCUUUUUGUUUCCGGUUUGGACCAUACUAUGAUUUCUUUGAACAAUUAGUUACUCUCUCAGUCUCCCAACCACAUCUCUCUCGGUCUUGCUUCUUGCCCGUUCCUAAUUUUGGCCAUUAUAUAUUUAUAAGGACGGGUUUGAGAAAACAUCUCUCGACAACUGAAAUUGUUGAGAAGAUUGUGUUUGCUCGUAUAUUAUUCUCGGAUCACAGCUCUAUUAACAACAAAGGUUGUGGUGGUCAUAUCACCCUUGUAAGUCUAAUUCAUGAUCAGUGCUUGAAACAUGCAAAUCACAGGUUAUCUGCAUGCUUCCUUGGAUCAGGGCAACCUGAUAGUCGCGUUGAAGCUAAAUCGAUAGCUGGCAUGUAUAAGAUUGUUUAUGUUUGCCACGAGACAAUAUUAAGAUUAAUGGAUUCGUUGAAGAAACUUGCAAAAAAGCUAGGGAUUGCACUUUUUGCCAUUGAUGAGGAAUGGUGAGGUUUAACAAACUGCAAAGAAGGGGAAGAAAGGAGGUACAUGGAAGGUUUCAAUAUAUCUGUCAACCUGUAUCAGCAUGGUCACUAGGAAUAAACUUAUAAAGAAGGGGAAGAAACAUGAAGGAAAUCUAAAAUAAGUCGUGAGAUAACUUAAGGUGCUUUUGCAGAGAAGCAGGCAAUUUGCAUCUCCCAGCAGCGAUGGUUAGAGCAUCUCAGAGCAUAAAUCUAAACCUGUCGCAAGAUCUAUUCAUGACAAUAUGAGCAGAUAUUCUUCUCUUAGUAGUUAGUUUUAAGACACAACUGAAUUCAGUAGGAUAAGCUUUCGAUACAAAACAUUCUUUAGUUCCUCAUGAGAAUGGUCAUGGCAAAUCAUUGGGCACUAAGUUGCACACGCUUGGCAGUCUGCCUUCACGUGUACUACUUAAUGGCACCGAUGGGGAUGAUCAUAGUGACCAUUUGAAGCAAGGUUUCGUGACAGGUGGUAUGGUUGCUAGAUCAUCCAAUGUUAAAUGCGAUGAAAAGGCUGUAAUUAUCAUGUCUACAAGUUUUGUCUACUGUGACAAUGUUGUUAUGGAUAAGGCUGAAGAUGAAGAACCUUAGUUGUAUUAAGUUUGUGCAGAAAGAAACUAAUCAUAAUGUAAUGGAUACCUUGGAGCAACAAGAUUCUUUUACCCAUGUGUAUUAUAAAAAAUUGUAAUUUUCAGU